GACGAACGCUGGCGGCGUGCUUAACACAUGCAAGUCGAACGGAAAGGCCCUGCUUUUGUGGGGUUCUCGAGUGGCGAACGGGUGAGGAACACGUGAGUAACCUGCCCUUGACUUUGGGAUAACUUCACGAAACUGGGGCUAAGACCGUAUAGGAGCUCCUGCUGCAUGGUGGGGGUUGGAAAGUUUCGGCGGUAGGGGAUGGACGCGCGGCUGAUCAGCUUGUUGGUUGGGGAGGGGCUGACCAACGCUGUGACGGGUAGCCGGCCUGAGAGGGUGGACGGGGACAUUGGGCCUGAGAUACGGCGCAGACUGCAACGGGAGGCAGCAGUGGGGAAUAUGGCACAAUGGGAGGAAGCCUGAUGAAGCAACGUCGCGUGCGGGAUGACGGCCUUUGGGGUGUGAACAGCUUUCGCCUGUGACGCAGCGUGAGUGACGGUAAUGGGUAAAGAAGCACCGGCUAACUACGUG
rnacentral:rRNA from 1 species